GAGAGAUCUCUCAUUCUCGAUGAAAGAAUCCACAUCUUCCUGAUAGGUGAUAUCCUCUCUUCUUCAUCAGAAAAAUGACCUUCCAAACUCUUAAGACUCAAGAUUUCCUAAUGAAAAUACUCCAAAGCGGCUCCUAGUCUCAUGAAGUUUGACUCACUUGAAAAUAUCUAGCACGUACAGAGUAAUAAAUUGUAUCGCCCCUUCCAAUUCUGAAACUAAAAUCUACACAAUUCCAGCCUCUGCCAACUUCCUGUUUUCCCGUCGUGGAGCAGACUAAGAGUUCCUGGAGCCUGGAAGACACACAGCUCCCCUCAAAUCUUCCCGCCCUUGUCCCUCCAUCCGGGAGCAGGCAGGUGAGCGGUGGCCACAGCUGUAGUCUUUGGGUGUUUUGAAACUGAUUAUCGGAUUCCUUAGAUGCAACUUUUAAUGGGACACAAGUCUAGCUUUACAGAUAGGCUCAACACGAACCGUUUGAAUGACUCCUUCAGAGCUUAGGGGAAAGGGUGCUGAUGGUAACUACUAUCUGAGCAUCUAUCUGAGAAGCAUCAUGCUAAUGGUAUUGGCUAUCACUUAAAGUUUUUGACUGUCUUUACCCAAGUCAGUUAUUUCUUCAGGGGUUGCAAAAUGGUUACUUUCUUUUUUUGAGACGGAGUCUCCCGCCGUUGCCCAAGCUGGAGUGCAGGGGUGGGAUCUUAGCUCACUGCAACCUCUGCGUCCCGGAUUCAAGCGAUUCUUAUGCCUCAUGAUUAGCUGAGAUUACAAGCGGCCACCACCACGCCCGGCUAAUUUUUGUAUUCUUGGUAGAGACAAGGUUUUACCAUGUUGGCCAAGCUGGUCUCAAACUCCUGACCUCAUGAUCCACCUGCCUCUGCCUCCUAAAGAGCUGGGAUUACAAGCGUGAGCCACUGUUCCUGAACAGUACUUUAAGUUUUUAAGUCAUCUCAUGCUCAGAGGCAGCGCUCUUUCAGGCUUUCAGCCUAUGAGUCUAUGCUGCUCCUGUGAACCCCUCUGGCACUCACUUUAUCUGUUCCCUAUCUUCUCCCUUUUGGAAUGUUUUUGACUACUCUGAGAGGCAAUUAAAAAUGGUGGUGGGCUGGGGCAGUGGCUCAUACCUGUAAUCCCAGCACUUUGGGAGGCUGAGGCGGGCGGAUCACUUGAGGUCUGGAGUUCGAGACCAGCCUGGCCAACAUGGUGAAACACCAUCUCUACUAAAAAUACAAAAAUUAGCCGGGUGUGGUGGCGCGUGCCUGUAAUCCAAGCUACUCGGAAGGCUGAGACGGGAGAAUCGCUGGAACCCAGGAGGCGGAGGCUGCAGUGAGCCAAGAUGGUGUCACUGCACUCCAGCCUGAGCCACAGAGUGUCUCAAAAAACAACAACAACAACAAAAAACAAGUUGCACAAAUUCCCAUUAGGUUACUUCAACUUCAUUCUGGAUUCUGUGAAGUGAAUUUUGAAGGCUAGGAGCUGAUUCUGUUUUAUCCGAGUAGAAGGAAUAUGGAAACAUUUCUGCCUUGCCCUUCAUGUUUGAUUGAUACGUUUCACUUUGAAAGUUAAUUAUAUCUGAUGCGAAGGAAAGAAGGAAAGAUGCGAAGGAAAGAAAAAUAGAUGCUCUUUUCAUGAGUUUUCACUGUGAAAAUUCGGGUCAUCUGUUCAGUUUUCUCAUGCCUCAGUUUACUCAUCUCCCAGCUAAGGUAAUAUUCCUGGUUUUCAGAGGAGAGGAGAGGACCAGGAAUUGGAAAUCCUGCCAUUUGCAACAACGUGAGUGAACCUGGAGGACACUAUACUCAGUGAAAUAAACCAGGUACAGAAAGAAAAUACUGCACGAUCUCUUUUCUGUGCAGAAUCUAAAAGAGUCGAACUCAUAGAAACAGAGAGUAGGAGGGUGGUUAUCAAGGAACUGAGUCAUUGCAAUCCAUGGUCUCAUAGACUUAGUCCUCCAAGGUUGCUCUGUCUGACCCUUCACUCAUUUUGGGAAAGCUCUUCAGAGUGUCCCUGACCAGUGACGUUCAGCUCCGGAGUGACUCUUCCAGGGACCAGAGACGUCCAGAUUCAAGGCAACCAUUUCAUGUCCGAAUAGGUCUAAUUGUAAGAAUGUUCUUCCUCGUACUCCAACACCUUCCUGAGGUAUCUACCUGUUGGUUUAAGUUCUGCCUUUUGAAGCAAAGUAAAAACAGAUGGGAUCUUUCCCACAUUUUGUCUCUUCAGGUUUGACUUCUCUUUCAUAGGUAUAGUUGUAACUUGUUUGUGGUGCGCUGUAGAAGAGCAUUUUGACAAAAUAAAUGUGUCAUUAUAUUUGUCACAUUCAGUCCUGUUAUUAGUGAACUCCCAAUUAAACAAAGACAUGUUCUGGUGAUGUCGGGGGCCUAUUGGGUAUGCUUGCUCAAUACACAAGGCUUCUGAGACACAAGGAAUUCCAUUUCUGUACCACACAUCCCUAAGCCCUGACUGGAUGAUAACUGUUCUCUCAUCUGCCAUGUUCGCACAACUAAUGAGAUGGCUGCACUGCAAGGGUCGGACCAGGAAGAAAAGGACCUACCAGUUUUCAGGAAACUUUCAGAUGAGACACCUUGAAUACCUUUAUAAAUGGUAGUAUUUAAUCAAGAAACUACAGCACCAGCUAGGAGAGGUUUUUACCUAAGACCCUGACUUUAGGGCUGGAAGAAAUAUCAUUCAUUUAUUUGUUCAACAAAUAUUUGUUGAGUAUCUACUACGUGCCAUGAAAUGUUCUAGAUGUUUGUUCUGUAUCAGAGAGUAAACGGACAAAAAUUCCUGUACUUAUAAAUCUUACGUUCUGGAGAGGGGACUUUAAAAAUAUGCAUUACAACAUUAUAAUAAGUAAGUAAAUCACAUUGUAGGUGAAAAAGUGGCAAGUUAUUUAAAGAGAAAAAAAACAGAACAAAGUUAGCAGCAAGAAUACUGGAAGGCAGUGGUGACCGCGGUGAUUGCAAACAGGGUGUUAGGAGGGGCUUCUGGGAGAAGGUAACAGCUGGACCAAGAGACUUACUAGGAAUGACCAGGAAGGUGGCAAAACGCUAAGAGAAAGUAAAACAUAAACCUGUUAUCUUGAGUAUUUUAGAAGUCAUAGUUGAAGUGAUGGAGAGUUGCCUUUAAAAUGCUACCUGUGAUUUGGUCUUUGUAAACCAAGCUUUGUGAAAGGAGAUCUUGUCAUGGUGUGGUUAUUCAUGCCGAGAUGUCUGCUGGGCUGAGUGUGGGCGAUGCACAGAGGGGAGAGUGAUGUGCAGAGGGUAGAGCGAUGUGCAGAGGGAAGAGAGUGAUGUAAAGCCAAGAUGUGAUUUGUGCAACUCUGGAUGAUUUGAGGGGAAACCUACAGGGUCAGAGUCACAACCUAAAGGGACUGCCCAAGGCAGGAAGGAUGGGGCUGAUCCAAGAGGGCGCCUCCGCAGCACAGAAAGGGACAAAGAACCCCACCAGUGUAAUCAAAGAUAAGAAAAAGGCAGAAAAAAGAAUUCUUAGUCCUGCCUAUUUUAACUGAAGGAAUAGUUAAAAUAUACCUCACAGGCUAUAUCUCUCUGCACUGGUCUGAAAGCAGAUGAAAGCAGGGAGAUAAAUCAGGGAGACACUCCCCCCACACAUAUACACACCCUCCCCAAAUUGAGCUGAGGAGGAGGUAUUUGCAUAUUCUCUUGGUUUCUAUCACGGUUAGAAAUGUUGGAAAGGGUGUACCUAGGGCCUAACUCCUAAGGAAACUUACUGCUGAGCCAAUAGACAGAGCAUAGAUUCAAAAGCAUGCCUUGGGUCUCGAAAGGGAAAGGAUAGGGCCUUUGUCAGGAGAGACUGUCAUCUCAAGGGUUAAAGGUCUAUUGAAAAGGAGAUCAAAAAUUGGGAGCACAUAAAGGGGAUGGUCUUAUUCUUUGAGUCUUUGGGAUCAUCCUUGCAACAGAUCUCUACUGUGGACUGUGGACUGUGGACUGUGGACUGUGGACUCUGGACUGCCCUGAUGCUCCCUCCACCACAGGACAGCUUCCUUGGGCACCUAAAUGAGUUUUGUGUGCUCUAUUGUGAGGGAAAUACAGAGAUACCAGAUAGCCAGGGAGGGGGGGUGGGGCGGGGGGGAGGAACUUAGGUCCCAGGAAUUCAGGGUCUAAUGAAUGGGAUCCUCACCACCAACACACAAUGCUUCUCCAUUAGGCAACAAGGUAUUAAGGGGCCUAUGAAAUUAUUUGAGAAUUGAAACAUUUAUUGGCCCCAAAAGAAAACUAUACAAUUGAAAUUAAUACAUAUUUUAUUUGCAGAAAUGGCAUUAUGGCUAUCUCGAUUGCUAAAUUCAGUAUUAAUAAAAAUGACACUGCACUUGAAAACAAUGUAUAGGUUUUUCUGUCUUGCAGGCAAGAAUUCCUAAGUAGGCACAAGAACUGCCAGGAAACCACUGCCAAUCAUGAUUUAAAUUAUUCAUAGCCAAAAAAUUUCAAAAGCAAAAUCAUAAUUUUAAAAUUUAUUUUUAUAGCAAAAAAAAAAUACCCUCUAUAUUUAAUGCGGGAUGGAAGUAGAUUCUAAUACGUGUGAUAUCGAGUGGGGUUGGGACCUCCAAAAGUGACAGGGUCUAGGACUGAGAAGGUGUGAACAUAGUUCUAACCUAAGGUCAUAUGUUGGAUGUCAGGGGAACAGGCAUCUCUUUAAUUUGUACAGUUGGAAAGCUGAAGGUAUAUAAAGAUAAAAUAGCAGUUCUAUUAUAGGCAUUAAAGAAAAGGUCUCCAGUUCAUGCGCCAGGGUUGUGGGUUAGGUAAGCCACUUUGCUCCAGCUUUCUGGGGGCCAGCUCUGCCCAGCCUCCCACCCUCACCCCAACCUCCCUCCUCUUUCUAUAACGUGGCCUCAUUCAUUUACUUCAGUAGCUCCUUUCUGGAACAAAUUCUCACAUUGCAGUCCUUUCCAGAAUGCUACAGUAACAGAGUUCUCAAAGGCUUUGAUUGAUGGGGUUUGAAACACUCUUUCUUUUUGGAAAUAUUUAUAUUUGAUCCCUUUUGGACAGACUGCACAUAACUAGAGCUUAUCACAUUGCUGAAAAUGAUGGGCAGAGUCUGAGAGACAGGAACCCUGAGUCGGCCGAGCCCUGGGAGAGCAAAGAUUAAUAUCCAUUUGUGCUUUGCUGUCCUCAACCCUGAUAACUGUAAAUAACGUUUGGAAAAGAUCGGGGUGCAUCAUGAUCUAUUACAUGGUGGCGACGAUUCUGGUUGUUAUGUCUUCCACAGUGAUUUAUCAUUCUCUGCAGUGACACAAAUCAUGGUCCUUGCCUGCCACUCUGGAAUGUAUGAUCUGCUGACUGGAACAGUGAUGAAUUUGUGUUUAUAUCAUAACAUUUUUAACCUGAGCUUGACCUGACCUCCUGCUCCAAUUUGGGAAUGUACUAAAAAUAUAUUUUUGUAAACCUCUAUGGUUUUGCUGGCUGGUGUUAAGAUAGAAAACACUUUUCCUCUUUUGGGGGGGACUAAUGUGAAGUGGUGCAAAUAAUAAGAAGGUCAAAUUGUGGAUAAAACAUUGUCUCAAUUGUUUUCUUACCUGUAAGAGAUCGGUAUAAUCUUGCCUUGUUCCAGCAAUCGGCAUCCUCAGAGCUGUUAAGCAGAAGGCCCUGGUAGUUUCUUUUUUCAAGACCUGGAAACCAAGAAGUGUCUACUAAUCUCUCUGUGUCUUUGUUUGAAGUGUGUGUGGGCUCUUGUGGACAAGUGUCUGAGUCUGUGUGCGUUAGUUGCUCCAUGAGGGGCAGGUGAGUGAAUCCAGGCCCUUCAGGCUGCCCUUUAAGGCAAUACUUUUCUCUGAAAUAGGGUCCAGGGACUUAAGAUCUUUGAAAGCUCUACAUGAAAAUGCUAUAUAUUUUUUUCAACCACAUUUCUUUCUGCGAAGUGUGGGAGUUGCAUGAAAUACAAAAAAUAAAAAUAAAAAAAUUUAAAAUCUCAUCAUUCCUUUCUGAAAUGAUCUUUGUAUGCUAUUCAAAUUGAUUGUCUUUUUUUAUUUUUUAAAUUCAUAUGAGGAACCCAAGGAUCUGGGGUUAAGAAAUGAUAUUUGAAUUGCAACUGUUCACAUGUAAAUGGGCGACUUAGAAAGCAAAUGCAUUUUAGACCAAAAACUUUUUUUUAAGGUAUUUUGCUAGAUUCUCAGUUUAGAGACAGAAUGUGCAAUAACCUGGCAAAGCAGUGGAGAAGGGGACGUUUUUCCAAGUGUCCCACCUUGACCACAGCAUUGCCCCCUCAACUCCUCAUCGGUCAUGGGCUCUAGGCUUGGCUUGUCCAAAGCCCUCACAGUCUCCUUGGUCACUCACAGACUGUCUCCUGUUUUCAAAUGCCUAUCAGUGAGCUAAGAUGACAAAUUUGCCCGUGAUCAUGUGCUGAAGUGAUAUGGAUUUCAGCUGAAGCCUCCUGGAAUCAACUCUCGUGGCACUGCCGAAGCCUGUGGUGACUUCGAGGGUGGAAUCUCAGGUGAGCGUGGAUCCAGGGAAAAGUGGAAGCACAUUGGUAUCAGUCAGACCCCUCAUCUCAUCUGACAACGAAGAGGCAAACACUUAUGCCACCUUAUUUUUCCAAUUUUUAGAUGGAGAAUCCUGAGUCACUCUCAAAACAAUAGAAAUUUCACAAGUAUCAGACUGACACGAGUUUGCUUAUUGCAAACCCGGAGGAAGAGAAAUGACAAUGAAUUUUCAAUACAUAGCAGUACUUUGCACAGUACUUUGUCACAUAUAGUGGGUUAUUAAUACCACCCUGGAGCCUUGGCACGUACAGCUCUUCACUACAUUCUACUUUUUCAUAAACAUCUUAUCUCAUCCAGCCUCACAGAACUCCUAAUACUUUGCAGAACCAUGAAAUUCAACACUCCACCUUCACUGGAUAGUUCUUUUUCAAAGCCCAAUCUUCCUGAAACUCACUUUCUAUUACAACAACAUUAAUUGCUAUUUUAUGCACAUACACAGACUGACUUCUUCACAACUUUACUUCCUGGUAACUUACAAGUGCACUGGUUGACAGCAUCCUCAAUCAGCAGAGUCAUUUCCAUAUCCUGGACAUAUACAUUGAUCAGAAAAGAUGACAAUUUAUUUUUAGACAGACGCAGCCUGCAUAAUUUAAAUAUAUUUCCCAUUUGGCAAAAAUGGUGUUGUAGCUAAUGUAUGUACAAUAUUUCCAAAAACAUUGGUACUUUCCCAUAAAUAUCUUCCAUAUUUUUUUUCAGUGAGUAAUAAAAAAGGUUGAGGUGGGAUGUGUUUUAUCCCACCACAUUAUAUCAUUCCUAUUUUUCCUCUUUGUUGGAUGGCAAUCAGGGGCCCUGAUGCCAAGCUUUGGAAGCAACAGCAUCUGGUUCCUUGGCAGAUCCUGCAGGCAGACUUGUUGCCAGCCUCUAAGCUGUGGCUGGGUCUGUUGCAUGGUUUGGCUGCAGAUGGACUCUCUGGGUUGCCUCGUGCUUCUGGAAGCCAGUCCUGGCUUUCCUUUGAUUCUGAGGACUUUACUCAUUUUUAUUCAUUUGUGAAGAAGGGCCCAUCCAAACGCUUUAUGAAACCAACACUGGGGAACAUUAAUGGAUCAAAUUUUGCCUUUGAAAAGGCAGAGGUCAGUGUGUUUGGGGGCAGGAGGCGCAGCGUUCUGAAGAUGUGAGUGCACAUGUGGAUGCUUCCUCCCAUGAACUUCUAUUCUAAGGAGCUUGGACGGUGGCCAGUUAUGUGUUACCAUUUCUCGCUUCCCCAGGAUGAGGCUGUGUGGUUACCUGGAAAGACAGAAACACUGGAGAGCUCAGGCUUCCUCAGAUCAAUAAAACCUCCCAUUUCUUUUGUCUUUUAAGUGAAUCAGACCCUGAGGAAAUGAACAUGCACAAGGAAAUUCCGGGUGCCUUCUCCCCUGUACCAUUUCAUUGUCCCUGUGAGUAUGGGAUUACAGCAUGGCUAGAAAGAAGGGUGGACAUGAAGUCUUAAUCUACUCCAAACUGAGCAUACACAUUAAAGCCAGAUCACUCCCAUUAAUGUUCCCUGAGACUCUGGCCUCUAGGGAAGGGUUUUCCAGUUUUCUUAGAAUUAUGAAACCCCGUCACCAUUGAUUUUGUUUAUCACUUUGAUCAACUAUAAAAUUCUAUGCCACACACACACAUACACACCUAUACCUUAAUGAAAAUAUAAUUUAGUAUGUUCUAAAGAUUAUUAUCUAUUUCAUGAUAUUUCUUGAGUGCAUUUGCCCUCUUCCUGAUUCAUUUAUUAAUAGCUAUUUAUUGAAUACCUAUUACUUGUUAAACACAAAAUCCUGCUUUCAUGGGGUUUACUUUCUACUAGGGGAUACUGGGAAAAAAAAUUAUCAAAUCAGUUAACAAGAUAAUUUUAGAUAGUGAUAGUGCUAUUAGAAAACUGAAACUGCGAUUUGAUAAAGGUGUUUGUGGGGUAAGAAGAGAGCUAUUUAAGACUGGUAAUAUUUCUGGGUAUAUAUAUAAAGGAAAUAAAAUCACUAUCUUGACGAGAUAUUUGCACUCUUAUUUUCAUUGCAGCAUUAUUCACAAUGGCCAAAAUAUAGACCCAACCUAACUGUCAAUGGAUGGAUGGAGGAAGAAACGCAGUGUGUGUCUAUGUCCAUAUCCUAGACCUAUACAUUGACCAGAAAAGACGACAAUUUAUUUUUAGGCAGACACAGACUCCAUAAUUUAAAUAUAUUUCCCAUUUGGCAAAAAUGGUGUUGUAGUUAAUGUAUGUUAUGUGUGUAUGUAUGUGUAUAUAUAUACAUAUAUGUUUUUGUAUAUGUAUCUAUACAUAUAUGUAUGUGUGUAUAUAUAUACACAGAUAUACAUACACAUACACAUGUACAAUGAAAUAUUAUUCAGCCUUGAAAAAGAUGGAAAUCCUGCCAUUUGCAACAACAUGAAUGAACCUGGAGAUCAUUAUACUAAGUGAAAUAAGCCAGACACAGAAAGAUAAAUACUGCACAAUCUCUCCUCUAUGUAGAAUCUAAAGGAGUUUUACUCUUAGAAACCGAGUAGGAGGGUGAUUAGCAAGGGUUGGGGAGUGGGGUAGAUAGGGAGACAUUUGUCAAAGGGUACAAACUUGCAGUUAUAAACUGAGUAAGUCCUGGAGACCUAAAGUAUAGCAUGGCAACUAUAGGUAAUAAUAAUAUAUUACAUACUUAACACUCACUAAGGGAGCAGAUCUUAAGUAUUCUUAACACACACACACACACACACAUACACACACACACAAGGUAACUGUGUGAGGUGAUACAUUCAUUCGCUUGAUUGUGGCAAUCAUUUCACAAUGUAUGCAUAUAUCAAAAUAUCACAUUAUAUACCUUGAAUAUAUAUAUAUAUAAUUUUGAUUUGUCAGUUAUGCCUCAGUCAUGCUGGGGGUGGAGGAAGAGAUUGAUUGGGAAGGAUCACUCAAGGAAAUGACAUUAGAUCUAAGACUGAAACUACAGAAAAGAUCCAGCUAUGAUCUAGGAAGGCCUAGAAGAGGAAGUAGCCAAGGCAAAGGCAGUAUUGGGGAAUAGUCUUUGCACAUUUGAGGUGCGAAAAGACAUUAGAUAUGCCACUAGAGCUCUAGGAGAAGAGCGGUAAGGACCCUGAUGGAGAGCUCGGCAGGGGCUA
rnacentral:lncRNA from 10 species